rnacentral:lncRNA from 1 species
CACAUGGCAGCAAAUAUGUAUGUUUUGUGGAGCUUCUCUUCCAGCAUAGUGAACAUUCUGGGUCAAGAGCAGUUCAUGGCAGUGUACCUAUCUGCAGGUGUUAUUUCCAAUUUUGUCAGUUACGUGGGUAAAGUUGCCACAGGAAGAUAUGGACCAUCACUUGGUGCAAUGGUAUGUUACUUACGGUCAUGAACUGAUUUGGAAGAACAGGGAGCCGCUAGUGAAAAUCUGGCAUGAAAUAAGGACUAAUGGCCCCAAAAAAGGAGGUGGCUCUAAGUAAAACUGGGAUUGGACAGUAGUGGUGCAUCUGGUCCUUGCCGCCUGAGAGCCCCAGGAGACAUCGGCUAGAGUGACCAUGGCUAUGCUCCCGUCUGGAAGAUGCCAGCAUCUGGCCUCCCACUGUUUUCAGCUGUGUCCCCCAGUCCGUGUCUUUUUAGAAUGUGAAUGAUGAUAAAGUUGUGAAAUAAAGGUUUCUAUCUAGUUUGUAA